rnacentral:rRNA from 1 species
CAGCAGCCGCGGGAAUACGUAGGUGGCAAGCGUUGUCCGGAAUUAUUGGGCGUAAAGGGCUCGCAGGCGGUUUCUUAAGUCUGAUGUGAAAGCCCCCGGCUCAACCGGGGAGGGUCAUUGGAAACUGGGAAACUUGAGUGCAGAAGAGGAGAGUGGAAUUCCACGUGUAGCGGUGAAAUGCGUAGAGAUGUGGAGGAACACCAGUGGCGAAGGCGACUCUCUGGUCUGUAACUGACGCUGAGGAGCGAAAGCGUGGGGAGCGGACAGGAUUAGAUACCCGUGUAGUCCCUGUCUCUUAUAC